rnacentral:piRNA from 1 species
UCAGGUUUAAUACGUGUUGCCUUUUGCC